UACGAAGGGGCGUAGCGUUGUUCGGAAUCACUGGGCGGUAAAGACGCACGUAGGCGGAUCUUUAAGUCAGGGGUGAAAUCCCGAGGCUCAACCUCGGAACUGCCUUUGAUACUGGAGAUCUUGAGUCCGGAAGAGGUGAGUGGAACUGCGAGUGUAGAGGUGAAAUUCGUAGAUAUUCGCAAGAACACCAGUGGCGAAGGCGGCUCACUGGUCCGGUACUGACGCUGAGGUGCGAAAAGCGUGGGGAGC
rnacentral:rRNA from 1 species